AUGGGCCCUCAACACCCAUCAAUGCAUGGUGUUCUUCGACUGAUCGUUACUCUCGAUGGUGAGGAUGUUAUUGAUUGUGAACCCAUAUUAGGUGUUUUAUCUAUAAAGUGGGGCGAAAGCCUAUUUCAAGAUGUAUCACUAGUACAACAUUUUUCAUCUUAUAAUUUGGAGCGUUCCUGCACUUACAGCUAG
rnacentral:rRNA from 1 species